CUACGGGGCGCACCAGUGGGGAAUAUUGCACAAUGGGCGCAAGCCUGAUGCAGCCAUGCCGCGUGUAUGAAGAAGGCCUUCGGGUUGUAAAGUACUUUCAGCGGGGAGGAAGGGAGUAAAGUUAAUACCUUUGCUCAUUGACGUUACCCGCAGAAGAAGCACCGGCUAACUCCGUGCCAGCAGCCGCGGUAAUACGGAGGGUGCAAGCGUUAAUCGGAAUUACUGGGCGUAAAGCGCACGCAGGCGGUUUGUUAAGUCAGAUGUGAAAGCCCCGGGCUCAACCUGGGAACUGCAUCUGAUACUGGCAAGCUUGAGUCUCGUAGAGGGGGGUAGAAUUCCAGGUGUAGCGGUGAAAUGCGUAGAGAUCUGGAGGAAUACCGGUGGCGAAGGCGUCCCCCUGGACGAAGACUGAUGCUCAGGUGCGAACGCGUGGGGAGCAACCAGGAUUAGAUACCCCUGUAGUC
rnacentral:rRNA from 1 species